GUUGCUUUGAAGAAAAUAUGGCUCUCUUGGACAGUGUGAGAAGAACAGAAGACAGAUAGGACUUCUGUGCCAACCGAAACUAUGGUUUGAGCUUGUCUUUAUGCAAAAACUUCCUACCAGGGACACAAAAUGUUACUUUUGCCUCAAACACAUGGCUGCUGACCUCCAGCAUCCACCAGCCUUCUUGGGGUUCCCCACCUGGAGUCCCUUGUAGCAGGUGGAGCUGUCUGAGAUGGAAGAUAUGGAGAUGAGCUUCCCAGACCAAGAAAUCUUGCUGGGGUGCCAAGGCAAGCCAGACUCAAGGUGCUGCAGGGCUUAUUCCAGCUGGACCCACACUCCCCCUGCCUGCAGCCCCAGGGGCUCUUCUGAAUCUCAGGCUGCUCCUGGUGGGCCCAAGCUUCACAGUGCUUAGUUCAGGGUUUGAGAUGGCCAUUAGGGAGCAGCAGGGGCAGGCACAAGGCAGGAGCUGAGGGUGCUUGAGUGAGGUGACAGGGCUGGGUGGCCACAGCAGCAGGUUCCUAACAGCCCCAUAGUGCAGGAAGGACAGACAGUAUGUCAGGAGCAUCAGGGACUGGGCACAAACCAUGGCACAGCAUUCAGCUGUGGCUUGAGAACUCAGGCCUGAACCAAAGCAGGGCUCUUAGCAGUUAGUGAGCGGACCAGGUGAGACUUGUCAGGGUGAGCAAACUCCAUUAAUGCCUCCAGGGCCCUGCAAACUGCUUGGUCCCACCUGUGGAGGAGUGGAGGUGUAACCUCCAAGUAUAACUAGACCUCCAAUCAAUAUAUAUCCCCCUGGAAAGCUGUCAGGAGGAAUGGAGCUCCAUUAGUAGAAGGUAGAGUGUCUUUGUGCCUAAGAGCUAUCUUGCUGCUUCAAAGACUGAAUGCUGUCUGCUGCCCUGAAGGUGAUUGCAUGCAGCUUGGUUGGGCUGGCAUCUCAUUAUCCCUCUGCUGUAGGCUUCCAGCAGCUCCCUAAGCAGGGAGGUUUGAAGUUGUGCUCUCCCGGUGAGAUGAAAGAGGACACCCAGCAGUCUUUUCCCAGGUUUGCUCUCAAGACAGAGGCUUCACCUUUCUGUCCACCAGUCAGGAAGACACUGGUCUUCAGGGAUGGCGACUCCACCACCUCCCUGGGAAAUCUGUGCACAUUCCAGGAUCCAAAUGGACCCAGUUGCCAUGUCAGCAGAUUAAUGCCUACAAAAGAGCAGCAAACACCAGGCAGAAAUUCAGCAUCCCGUCUCUCAGGCAUGUGAGCUGAAUCCUAAAGACUUUUCAUUUGUCCUUCAUCCUGCGUGGGAAAAGUUGGCCUGAGCCCAUCUUCCUCAGUCUCUCAGAUCUGGGAAGGCGGUGAGCAAGGCUCUGCCCUGCUGCAGGCUGUAUUGCUGGUGUGUGUGUGUGAGGGAGUGAUACCCACACCGUGACAGAUUGCAGAAACCAUAGCAAAUUCAUCAGGCUCUCCACUACUGGCUCAGCAGCAUCAGAAUUGCUUUCACUGUCUGGUAAUUAGGCAAAACACAGCCUUGUUUUCCUCCUUUGCAACCUCGUAGUGGCUGGUGCAUCAAAGCAAAGGCGCAUUGCCUGGCACAAGGAGCUCUCACCCUCCAGCAGUUUCAUAUCCAGAGGGCUGGAUUCAGCCAAGGGGAAAUCAGAUCUGUAAAAAGUGUCCUCUUAGCUCCU
rnacentral:lncRNA from 1 species